UACGUAGGGGGCUAGCGUUAUCCGGAAUUACUGGGCGUAAAGGGUGCGUAGGUGGUUUCUUAAGUCAGAGGUGAAAGGCUACGGCUCAACCGUAGUAAGCCUUUGAAACUGGGAAACUUGAGUGCAGGAGAGGAGAGUGGAAUUCCUAGUGUAACGGUGAAAUGCGUAGAUAUUAGGAGGAACACCAGUUGCGAAGGCGGCUCUCUGGACUGUAACUGACACUGAGGCACGAAAGCGUGGGGAGCAAACAGG
rnacentral:rRNA from 1 species